GCUGGGGCUCAGUGGUAGAGCACUCGCCUGGCUUGUGUGUGUGAGAGGCCCUGGGUUCGAUCCUCAGCACCGCA
rnacentral:tRNA from 1 species